ensembl:lncRNA
UUUUUUUUUUUUUUUUUACUUUUUUGGGCCUGUGCUCUCACUUCUUUGUGAGGCAGGUUAGAUGGUGUGACCUUUGCGGCUCCAUGGAUGGGAGCAUUCUGUAAUUCUCUGUGUACUCGUUUACAGGGCCCAGUUCCACUUGCCUGUCUUUGAGCCUCUUCCCAGUUUAGGAGGAAUAUCACUUGAAUUGAAAUCAGAAAACCCAGGUUCUGGUCCCAGAUGUGUCUUUUCCUAGCUGGAGUGUCUAGAGGAAGCCACUUAGUCUCUGAGCAUCAGUUUUCUGUUUCAUGAAAUGGGUUGAGAACAGCUAGACUGCCCAGUUCUCAGGGCUCUUGUGGGAUGCUCUUUGUAUAUGUGUUUGGUGGGGUGAGCUGUGCAAAUGUAAGCUAUGGUGAGGUUUACGGCACUUAUUCCUUCUAGUCCUGCAUUUCUCCCUUCUCACAGGAGCACCUGGAGUACAUUUUGCAGCUAAGUUGUCUACCAAUUCCCUGACCAUCCAAAUCUUUGAUUUUUCUGUGUGUCAGUUUCUUAGUUCAAAGAUGGGAGUGUGGAUCACUGCCAGGAUCUGUUUUUGGCUGGCACACACAUGCACACAAACAUGUGUACACACACAUACUCACACCCCUCCAAAAUGCUAGAAGGAAUCGAUGGCGCAGAACAAUAUGUCUCAUGAGGGAGUAUGCUGAACUAAAAUAAUUUUGAUUGCCUGUCAGAAAAUGAUUAGGCAAUAGUCAUUACCAUGUCAAGACUGUCCCAGUCUCCAUUGUUCCUAACAAGACCUGAAUUACUCAUUCCCUAAAGAGAUGGUUGGUUUAGCAGCCGAAGGAUUUUAGUGCUAGGACAGAGUCCCAGAUAGCAAUGCCAUGGAGAUGGCGAGGGAGCGGGGUAGCGGGGGAGUGGUGAGGGGCACUUUCUGGAGGAGGGUAUAAGGCAAAAACUGUGGGAGGAGAAGAGGGACAAGGCUCAAUGUGAAGAGUGCAAUGGAGAGGACAAACACAGCCAGCCCGAUUCAGAGUCACAGAGCAAUGGGAUCAGAUGAUCUUCACAGACUCUCUCUCCCAUAGAUCUUGCACACCAUAGUGGAGACUUCCCACGUACAUCUAUGGUUUGCCACUUACAGAAUUGCUUGGAGCCAGCUGAAGUUAGAGCUGGUUUCUUCCCUUUGAGUCUUCAAUUCUGUGUUUAUGUGCAGGCCUGGAGACCACGCCAGGCUUCUAAGAAGUCUUCAAAUGAAAGUCUGCGUGGGGUUCUGGUCUGUCCAGAUCUCAGUGCCACUAUUAUCCACUGACAUUGAUCAAGUGCUGCUCUCCAGGAAGGCCCCUGAGGUUUCCUGGUCCAUUGCAAUGCAUGCCGGGGGCUCUUGCACUUGGGUGGAAGUAAAAUCUCCUCACUAAACUCUGCACCACCAAAAUCCCCUUCUCAGAAUGAAUUGAAGAAACAUUUUCCAAGUGCUUGCAUGUGCGAGGAGCCAAGGAUUCAGAGUGAUAAAACAGGCCUUCUGCCCUCAGAACUCUCUGUGGUGGGGUACUUCCUGUGCUGUCUGGCUUUACACACAGCAGGCAGAAUGACUUGAAUUCGGCUGCUGUGCUGUCGUACAACAUGCUGUUUAGGAUCUUACACACGAUAGCUAGGUAUCCUUGCUUCAAAUCCCAGCCACCCCACUUACCAACUGUGUAGACUUGGUCAGGUUGUUCAACCCCGUGUCUCAGUUUUCUCAUUCUACAAAUGGGGAGAAAAAUACCAUCUAUCUCAAAGUUGUGAAAAUUAAGCAAGUUAAUACAUAUGUGCUACGUAGAACAGUGCCUGGUACAUGGUCAGUUUUUGAUACUGUUAGGUGUUAUCAUUAUCAUUAUUAUUACCUCCAGAAACAAUUUAAACUUCUCAGAUCAGGCUCUCCAGAUACCUCUCAUUGUCCUCCUUUCCAAAUCUGCAUUUAUUUCUCCCUCUUUACAGUCCAGUGUGAGGCUUAAAUCACCCGUCAAGCCUCACCUCUACCCCUGUGCUUUACAAAAUGUCCUAGAGCUUCUGUCUACUCAUCUCACUGCUCUGUGGGCUUUUUCACUCAUGGGUGUUUGCAUGCUAUCCGUUGCCACCUGUUUUCUGUUGCUGGUGUCUGUCUCCUGCUCCAUCUUUGAAGAAAAGGAACAAGAAAAGUAACAACUGAGAAACAGA